UUUUUUAAAAAAUAAUUGCUAUUAGAGUAUAGUUGGCUUUGAAAGUUGUGUUAGUUUCAGAGUUCCCAUCGUGGCUCAGUGGUUAGCGAACUUGAUUAGCAUCCAUGAGGAUAUGGGUUCAAUUCCUGGCCUUGCUUAGUGUAUUGAGGAUCCGGUGUUGCUGCGGCUCUAGUGUAGGCUGGUGGCUACAGUUCCGAUUGAAUCCCUAGCCUGGGAACCUCUAAAUGCCACAGAUGUGGUCCUAAAAGACAAAAAGACAAAAAAAAAAAAAAAGAAAGUGGCAUUAGUUUCAGGUGUACAGCCAAGUAAAUCAGUUAUACCUGUGUCUGUGUGUCUGUAAUUCAUAUGAUCUCAUAUGAUACUUGUCUUUCUCUGUCUGACUUCACUUGAUAUGAUAAUUUCUACGUCCAUCCAUGUUUUUGCAAGGAUCAUACAAUUUUAAAUGUCUGAAGAAAAAGCUGUUAAAGUUAUUUAAUGUGGAAUGAGCUUAGAAAUUUUAAUUAACUAUUUAAACUCAAAUAGAAGAAAUGUUACCAUUGCAUCCAUUCCUUUUUUAUAUUCUGAUGACUUCUCUGCCUCUUAUCACCCCUCCCCCAAACCAUAUUUGUGAUUAUCCUUAAAAGACUAGAACUUGCUUUUAUCUUCUGGAACUACACACUCCUCCUGGGUAAACAACUAAGUACUAGAGUGUUCAAGUUCAUUGGCUCUGAAAUCAGACUGUCAAGGGCAGACUGCAAGUGCCAUCACUUACUCUAGUGUCAUCAGAGUUACCUCACUUUCCUGUGCCUCAGUCUCCUUAUCUAUAGAGAUAAUAAUAGUAAUUAUCUCUGAAGUUGACAUGAUAAUUAAAUGAGUUAAGAAAUGUAAAGUACUUAGUAAUAGUGUUUGGUACACAGUAACUUUAAUAAAUUUUUUAAAACAUGAUUUUGAUAAUGAUUACUUUAAAGAUUAACCUUGUACCAAUGACUCUCAAAUUUCUAUCUCUACCCCUGUCUUCUAGUUUUCUUAAUUUUAACAAUAAUGCCAAAUUUUGUCAAAAAAUAAAUGAAAUUUUGUCUUAUCAUUAUAUAAAACUGUAAUAUAUCCACCCACCAGACAUUUAUUUAAUACCUAUUAUAAGCUAGAUACUUUUUUUCUAGUGUCAAGUAUAUAGAGGCAAAUAAUCUUUUUUUCUCUAUUAAGUGAGAAAAACAAGUAAAGAAAUGGUUGUACUACAAUGUGAUAAAUAUUUGGAUUGGGGUAUAUAGGGGCUAUAAAAUUAUUGAAGAUUUGUCUAAAUCAGACUUUGGCUCAAACACUGUGUGUUAUCUACUGAUAUAUAACAAAUUAUCCUCAAACUCAGGCGCUUAAAACAACAAACAUUUAUUAUUGCUUAGCUUCUCUGGGUCAGGAAUCUGGGCACAGCUCAGCUGUAUACUUCUGGCUCAGGGUCCCUCACAGGCUGCAAUGAACGUAUGGAUAGGGGCUGCAGUGAUCUCAAGGAUCAAAUGAAGGAGGAUCUUCUUCUAGGUUCACUCAUGCUGUUGGCAAGAUUUAUACCCUCAUGGGUUGUUGGACUAAGAGUCUCAGUUUCUUAUACUGGCUGGCCUUCCUCACUUCACUGCCAUGUGGGUUUCUCCACAGGGCAUCUCACAACUUCAUAGCUGGUUCCCUCCAGAAGGCUCCAAAAGAGCAAGCAAGAAAGGUCAAGCAUGACUGAUGUCAGUCUUUUUUUGUUUAAUUGAAGUAUAGUUGAUUUAUAAUGUUGUGUUAGUUUCGAGUGUACAGCAGAGUUAUGGUUAUGCUUAUAUAUACAUUCUUAAAACAUUCUUUUCCAUUAUGGUUUAUCACAGGCUAUUGAAUAUAGUUCCCUUUGCUACACAGCAGGCCCUUGUUGUUUAUCCAUUCUAUAUUUAAUAAUUUGCAUCUACUAACCCCAAACUCUCAAUACAUCUCUCCUCUACUCUCCUCCCUCUUGGCAACCACAAAUCUGUUUUCUAUGUCUGUGUUUCCAUUUUGUAGAUAGAUUCAUUUGUGUCAUAUUUCAGAUUUCACACAUAAGUGAUAUAUGGUGUUUGCCCUUCUCUUUCUGACUUACUCUACUUAGUAUGAUCAUCUCUAGGUCCAUCCAUGUUACUGCAAAUGGCAUUAUUUAAUUCUUUUUUAUGUCCAAGUAGUAUUCCAUGGUGUAUAUGUACCACAUCUUUUUAAUCCAUUCAUCUAUUGAUGGACAUUUAGGUAGUUUCCAUGUCUUGGCUAUAGUGAGUAGUGCUGCCAUGAACAUGCAUGGAGGGGGAGAUAUAUAUUUUUGAAUUGUAGUUUUGUACAGAUAUAUACCCAGGAGUGGGACUGCUGGAUCAUAUGGUAGUUCUAUAUUCUGUUUUCUGAAGAACUUCCAUACUGUUUUCCAUAGUUAUUGUACCAAUUUACAUUCCCGCCAACAGUGUAGGAGGGGUCCCCCUUCUCUACUCUUUCCAGAAUUUGUAAUUUGUAGAGUUUUAAUGAUGGCCAUUCUGACCUGUAUGAGGUAGUUCCUCAUAGUAGUUUUGAUUUGCAUUCUCUAGUAAUUAGCAAUGUUGAACAUUUUUCAUGUGCCACUUGACCAUUUAUAUGUCUUCUUUUGAGAAAUGUCUAUUUAGGUCUUCUGCUCAUUUUCUGAUUGGAUUGUUUGUUUUUGUUGUUGUUGAGUUGUAUGAGCUAUUUAUAUACUUUGGAAUUUAAGCCCUUGUUUGUAGCAUUAUUUGCAAAUAUUUUCUUCCAUUCUGUAGGGUAUCUUUUCAUUUUGUUUGUUUAUUUAUUUAUUUUUUGCUUGUAAGUUUGAGUAGGUCCCAUCUCAGUCUUUUUCAACUGAAUCUCACAACUGCUAUCAAAAUCUUGGAGAAAACAUUUCUGGGCUCUGCCACCAACCCCUAGUAUCAUGCUCAUGGAGAGUUCUAACUUGGAUCACCAUGUCAGGGAAGUAGGCAUGGUUCAGGGAGCAGAAGGCUCUGUUGCUGGCUCUGCUACAUGAAUCACCUGGCCAAGCUUCUUACCCUCUUUGAGCUUUUGUUUUCUCAUCUAUAAAGUGUCUGUGAUGGGUGCCUUCUCUGCCCAUUGUCACAGGACUCUUGUCAUUUCCCACGGGAAUACAUAGGGGGAUUCAACACGUUUUGAAAAACUGUCAAAUAAUGAGGCAUUAUUCUUUUGUUCAUCAUUAGAUCUAGGAACACCUUUUAUUAUCAGCAGGUAUUAAAUUUUACAAGCUCAGACAACAUCACAGAAAGACACAUUACUUUCAAAACAGUGAUUUUGUUUAGAUUUUUUUAUGAAAAGUGUUUCAUGUCUUGGACCCCCAUCUCUUCCUUUUCUUAUCCCCACAUAUACUCAUAGUCUUCCCACAUUCUCAGUAAACAGGUGGUAUGGAUGCUUUCAGAGAUGUUGGACAAAUCCAUGCCCACUGGAAAUGUGAACACAGACUUUUUAAUAAUCAUAACAAAAAUUAGUUAAAAAAUGAACGUAAUCUAUUAUGAAUGGUUUUAGACACCUUUCAAAUUUCACUUCUAAACAUUUAAAAAUUUUGUAUUUAAAAAUUUGUUUAAACAAUCCAAGGUGAUGAGGAUCCUUGCAUUAUACUUAAGUUACAUGUCUCAUGACACUGAUUUAGCUCUGUAGUUUGCCUUUCUCCUUGUGUUCCAGAGCCAUCCAACUUAUCUCCAUGUGCUUGUUGUCAUUGAGACUCUGGAUCUUGUCUUGACUGAAAUGUGGGAGAAGAAAUGUUCUGGGAAGAAUCCUGAGAAUCUGAUAGAGCAGUGGUCUCCACACUUUUGGGUCAAUUAUCCCAUGAGUAAAAGCUAUAUGAGCAGCAUCUUUUAUAGGUAUAAUUUUAAAUUUAUAAAUUAUAUAUGCAUCAAUCUGUUUUAAUAUAUUAUGCAUAGUAUAAAAGAUAUGCAGUCUACAAAUAGAAAACAGUGAGCAGAAACACAAUACUUUAAAUAUAAAAUUUAACACUACUUUUGUUAAUGGUACACUAAACUUUUUCUCCUCAAAUCACAGAGAUUUUUAUUGAUGUCUAGACAGUUGGUUUUUUCUCCAUAUGUUUUUAUUAAAGUAUAGUUGAUUUACAAUGUUGUGCUGAUUUCUGCUGUGUAGCAAAGUGACCUAGCCAUACAUAUAUAUACAUUCUUCUCUCCAUAUUAUCUUUCAUCAUGUUUUAUGCAAAGUGACUGGAUAUAGUUCCCUGUGCUAUACAGCAGGACCUCAUUCCUUAUCUAUUCUAAAUAUAAUAGGUUGCAUCUACUAACCCCAAACUCCCAGUCCAUCCCACUCCCUACCCUUUCUCUUUGGCAACCACAAGUCUGGUCUCCAGUAGAAAGCUGGUUUUUAAAUGCCUUGCAAAUUAAACUGGAAUCAUACUAUCAUUUACUAAUAUUGAGAAGUAUAACAUACUUAGGGCUAGGUUCAUUGUUUAUAAUAAUUAUGUAUAUGCACAUUUCAACCUUUUCAAAAAUUUUAUUUAUUUAUUGGUCUACAUCUCAGCAGAACUGAUUGGAUCACCACUACUUUUGUCUCUGAGUGUGGCUGAAAAGGAGCUCCUUCAAGAAAUAGUGAAAAUAUCAUUCUGCCUUUUUAUUUAUUUAUUUAUUUAUUUAUUUAUUUAUUGUACAGUUGCACUAUUUAAUUAUAAUUAUCAUAAAUUCUUGAUGGAGAGGAAAUCAGAAUCAGAUCUAAGAAGAUUUCAGCAUUCCAAGAAUGAUGUCAAAUGACCCCUUUCAUGGUGGAUUAUGCACUUAUUUACUAUGAGAUAUAUUUCUUCUUCAGAGAUUCCUUGUUUGUAUAUCAAUUGUAGAUUUUUAGAUUGCAGUUAUUCUGAAGUUUUGAUAUAAGAGUCUAUAUGUAUAUGAGAUUGUUUUAAGUUGUUGUUCUCUUAAUUGCAAGUGCAUCUCCAGUGUCCUGCAUUUGUACCCACCUCUUCUCAUGAAUUCUGAUUUUGGUGGUAUAAUUGUGCAUGGAUGAUUUCAUAUCUUUACUGUAUACAUACCUUUACUGGUGAGCCUUGUCAUUUGUGGAAUUUUUGUUUCCUGUUGCUGUCUUUUCUUUUCUGCCUAGAGAAGUUCCUUUAGUAUUUGUUGUAAGGCUGGUUUAGUGUUGCUGAAUUCUCUCAGCUUUUGCUUAUCUGUGAAGGUUUUGAUUUCUCCUUCAAAUCUGAAUGAGAGCCUUGCUGGGUAGAGUAAUCUUGGUUGGAGGUUUUUUUUUCUUUUAUCACGUUAAGUAUAUCAUGGCUGUCUCUGAGUGUGGCUGAAAAGGAGCUCCUUCAAGAAAUAGUGAAAAUAUCAUUCUGCUUUUUAAAAAAAUUUUAUUCUUAUAUUACAAAUAUUAUCACCAAUCUGAAGUUAAUUUUAAGGAAACUUAUAAAGCUAUUGGUCUACUAGUAAGUAUUAAUUUAGCUAAACAAGAUGAUAUAAUUUCUAAAUCUGCUUAACCACCCAAAGAUAACAAUAAUACUCAGAAAACAGCUCAAGAGCAAAGAUGUCAUCAUCAUCCUUCACCACAGUAGAGUGCAAACUGAAGUAUUAACGGAGUGAGGGUACUUGUCUACUAAAUAUUAGUAAAAUGAAGCUUUUUAUUUUUAAAUAUAGAAAUAGAUAAAAAUAAGUGUGUGUGUAUAUGAAUGUGUGUGCAUGUAUAUAUAUAUGUGUAUAUAUUUAUAUAUUUGUCCAGAGCUAUACACUCCAGUUUGGAGACCACUGUACAGGAUCCCUUGGGCUUUAUCCAGGUCCCCAGUGAGACCUAGGCCAGGACAAGUUAGCAGAUGGAGCAGAUACCCCUUCUGGAGCCAAAUAGCUCCAUUUUCCUUUAUAUUAUAUUUUAUACAUUAAGCAUUCUGAUAAACUUUCAUUAGAACAAAGAAUUACACAGCUCAAGCAUGUUUGAAAUUUUCUUCUGGAGAAGCCUAGAAGCCCAUGACCCACUGUUCUGACAAAUAUUUGAAACUGAACACUGUACAGUAAAGUUGUAAAAUCAUCUUUUGCUAAAGAGCUAAAUAUACCAGUUUUU
rnacentral:lncRNA from 1 species